CUGACUCGACUUUGGACAUGAGUCAGCAAUGCAUGAUUGUUAAUAUGCUGGGAUGAUUGCCAAUAGUCACAUGCUGGUUGUUGCUCAUCCAGCCGCACCUUUUAUUUUUCCAGCAGGUUGAGUCACUCUGACUUUAGACUAAGGGGGGGGGGGCAAGGUGCAGCGAUCGACUACCUGAGCUAGCUACGCUGCUGGACGUGCUCUCGUUCACGCUGUGGAUAACUGCACCAAAAUACUUUCCUUCGAUCUCUUGUCUGUGUUGCGGAGGCCCGAGCCGGUGAUUUUUUGAAUUUUGCAGGAAUAUACAUGAGACCGAUAUUCCUCCAAAAUAGGAAAGAGGCUAAAGUGAUGAUACUCUGCAAGUGCUCAGUGGGAUUAUCUCUGGCUGUGGAGCAGGAGCCCGUCGACAGAAGAGUUUACUGAUUUGGAGGUAGCAGAGGGCCGCUUGGGAAGCAUCUUGGAGUAAAGUCUAAGCAAGCGAGGACACCGAGCAGUGCGUCAUCAGAUAGCAGCCUCCCUUACAGCCCAUUUCAACGGGAGCGCAGUCUUGGAGACGGAGCCUCUGGGAGUGGACGUCAGAAUGAUUCCAUUGGACUUUACUCCAAAGACGAAGCGAAUGAGUUUGCUCAGAUAGUAGCCGGCACCAUCGUGUCCAUAAGAAGGUUCUUUUUCGUCCAAACGCGAGCCUGUGCCUUCGCUUCAGAGGAAGUCUGAUGAAGAGCAUCGAGUGUUGGUCUGGUUUGGAGACUACAGGUUUCAAAAUGAUAAUAAAAACCUUCAACAGGC